GUAUACAUAUCUGUGUCUCCCAUUAACAGCUCUGGGCUUAGCAUACAAGGCUCAUCCCUCCAAUUUUCAGAUAUAUAUUGAGAACCUACUAUGAGCUGACAUUUCAAAAUGCAAAGAUUUCACAGAAGCCUGGGAUUGUCACCCAGAAGAAUCUUCAGACAAGGAAAUGAGACCCAGAGAAGGGUGUCUCUCAUCAAGUUUCUCUAGAACCUGAGAGGAAAACAUUAGGGAUUAGAGUCCAACUCUUCCUGACACCUUGCUCUUUCACAGCAGGGAUUUUUCUCCCUUCGGUUAAAAUAGCAGGUUUUCCAAGUGUCCAUGUUGAUCCCAGAUUCCCUCACUGUCUCCUCCCCCAUUCUUGCCCCAGCAACCAUAAGUUCAUCCUCUAAGUCAGAUAUGUACACUCUGCUGGAUUUAGCAUGGAUAACCAACAAGGUCCUCCACAGGGAACUCCACUCAGCUUCAUGUGGCAGCCUGGGUGGGAGGGGAGUGUAGAGGGUGAAUGGAAAGAUGGAUUUGUGUGGCCAAGUCCCUUCUCUGUCUCCUGCUGUCACAGCACUGUUAGUCAGUCAUACUCCAAUAUAAAAUAAAAACUUUUCAAAAAAUUAAUAAAAGCCAAGAGACCUAAAAAAAUAAAACAACAGAUUUUUGAACAUAGUUAGAAAACUAGAAAAAACAUGAAUGAUUAUUUUGUUCAUUACUGGUUUUUCCAGAUCAAACGCUAGCCCUCAAGCACCGCUGAGUUGGAGCCAGAGGACCGGAACACAGACCAAGACCAAUCCGCAGGGCGGCUGAUCCCAUCACUGUCUGACUCCCUGUCCGCCUCACACCCACCCUGCAUGCUCACGUUUCACCCACGCCAGGCCAACCAAGGGCCUGUAAAAGUUUAACUUUGUGCGAUUGCACAACCGUGAAAGCUCAAGCUGAUUUUCAGGGUAAUGAAGAGAUUCUCCAGUUGCCUCAUGAAAAAGUUUCCAGGGAGGACAAACAGCGCAAGUUGUCGCAGACAUCGGCGUCCUCGGUGUGGGUGAGGUGACGACGCCUCAAGAGGCCGAAGGGGACGCGCGUUUGGGCCGCGUGGGGCCUCGCAGGGCCUUGUGCUGUUUCCCUGUCUGCUCCUUUGCUGAGCUUCUAUCCUGAAGAAUCCUUCUGGAGGGGCAGGCCCUGCUCCCCUCGAUGGCAGGAGAGAACGCGGAGCUUGGAGACGCGCCCCCUCGAGGGAGAACACGGCUGCUUCAGUCUCAGACUCUCCCGCCCGGAAAGCAGAUUCCAGAACCCAGCAGGAACAGGGGCGACCAGACAGUCCCAAGUUUGACACCGAACUCCACCACCCGUCUCAGGACUGUGUCGGUGUAACAUGGCUCUAUCGGCUCCUCUCGUAAAUCGGCCAGGCAGCAUGAACCUCAUUCCCGGCCUCGGUAACCGUCCUGGAAAGGGUAACAAACUAGCAGAGGUCAGAGUUAGUGCGUAAGAAAGGCGAUUAUGCAAAUAUCUUUAUAUGUUUUCCCUGGUCAUUGUUUAAAAAAAUUAAUUGGACGGUAAUUAUUUUACAGUGUUGUAUUGAUUUCGGCUGUACAAUAAUGUGAAUC